ACCGCGAUAGCUCAGCUGGUGGAGCAUCUGCCCGGUAUGCGGGGGGUCGCCGGUUCGAUUCCGGCUCGCGGCG
rnacentral:tRNA from 1 species